rnacentral:rRNA from 1 species
UGGGGAAUAUUGGACAAUGGGCGAAAGCCUGAUCCAGCCAUGCCGCGUGUGUGAAGAAGGUCUUCGGAUUGUAAAGCACUUUAAGUUGGGAGGAAGGGUUGUAGAUUAAUACUCUGCAAUUUUGACGUUACCGACAGAAUAAGCACCGGCUAACUCUGUGCCAGCAGCCGCGGUAAUACAGAGGGUGCAAGCGUUAAUCGGAAUUACUGGGCGUAAAGCGCGCGUAGGUGGUUAGUUAAGUUGGAUGUGAAAUCCCCGGGCUCAACCUGGGAACUGCAUUCAAAACUGACUGACUAGAGUAUGGUAGAGGGUGGUGGAAUUUCCUGUGUAGCGGUGAAAUGCGUAGAUAUAGGAAGGAACACCAGUGGCGAAGGCGACCACCUGGACUGAUACUGACACUGAGGUGCGAAAGCAUGGGGAGCGAACA